rnacentral:rRNA from 1 species
GAUGAACGCUGGCGGCGUGCCUAAUACAUGCAAGUCGAGCGAACGGACGAGAAGCUUGCUUUUCUGAUGUUAGCGGCGGACGGGUGAGUAACACGUGGAUAACCUACCUAUAAGACUGGGAUAACUUCGGGAAACCGGAGCUAAUACCGGAUAAUAUUUUGAACCGCAUGGUUCAAAAGUGAAAGACGGUCUUGCUGUCACUUAUAGAUGGAUCCGCGCUGCAUUAGCUAGUUGGUAAGGUAACGGCUUACCAAGGCAACGAUGCAUAGCCGACCUGAGAGGGUGAUCGGCCACACUGGAACGGAGACACGGUCCAGACUCCUACGGGAGGCAGCAGUAGGGAAUCUUCCGCAAUGGGCGAAAGCCUGACGGAGCAACGCCGCGUGAGUGAUGAAGGUCUUCGGAUCGUAAAACUCUGUUAUUAGGGAAGAACAUAUGUGUAAGUAACUGUGCACAUCUUGACGGUACCUAAUCAGAAAGCCACGGCUAACUACGU